AUUGGAAUAACAAGGACAUAUAUGUCAUGAUAUACACUAUAUAGAAAUUGAAGGGAAAUACAAGUUGGAACUUUACUUUCAAACACAUUAAACUGAAUUCUCUCUAUUCCUCUUCUUUCUUUCUUUGUUAUCCAACAGUAGUUAAAUAGACAUCAGUAACCUAUAUAUAUUGAGGAAAAAUAUACAACUCGUAAUCGCGAUAUCUUGUAUGGAAACGAGUUAUGUAACAUCAGUACUACUACCAGUGUAGCCGAUAACUGGCAGCUUGCAUAAUGGGGUGGAGGAAGUAAGCACCUAAUGUCAAUGUUGUUAUCGAUAAAUAUGGCAAUCUGAUAAAUUCCUUGUAAUAAUCUUCAGGCAACUUUUGACGACCAUCAAGAAUGGCUGCAAAUGGAAUGAUACUCGUUCUGUUCUUCACGACUUCAAAAGCCUCACCAUAUCGUAUGGCUAACCUCCGGUCCCCAUUCCAGGCACCAAACAGAUGAUGUCCUAUCAAACCUACUGAAGCUGCCACUGCAACUGAAUUCCCAAUCCACAGCGUGUGAGCUAAGCACCAUAUAACCUGCCCGACCAGCUGUGGAUGCCUGGUAAUCCUCAUAAUCCCAGUUUCCCAAAGAUGCAUCUUGGGCUUGUCAACAGCCGCUACCUCUAGUAAAUUGAAUGUCGACGGGUAUAGGAAGAAGAAGGAAACAAAGUUAGAAAUCCAAACUAGUUCGUGAAUCCCAGCAACACUGUUUAAUUGCCAUAACUGCACUCCAUCGUAUCGGUGGUUAAUGAAAUACACAAUUGUGCUGACUGCCAAUGGCAGAGAUACCCCAGCAAACAAUACACGAAAAGCACGCUCUCCAAUGAGUUCCUCACCUUUGUCUCUAAGACUAGCAAGACCACUGUGGACUAUAGCGAAAAUCAAGGUAAGGGAAAGCAUUACAAUUUCAGGGCUAUCUGAAAUACUAGAAACAGAAUCAAUGAAUGAUUUUCCAAAUCCAGUAGAAUUGUCAAUCCAAACAACAUUAAGAACAUAAAGCACAACACCAAGAACCCCAGCAAAAUAAACCCAAGAUGAAAUCUUUUGUUUGGAUAACUCAAAUUCAGCAGAAUCUUCACCCACCACCAAGAUUUCAUCUUUUUCAUCUGUUUGUGUUCUUCCCACUGAAAUUGGCCAAAAUUCCUUUCUGGGGUUUGAGGGAAAUGGAAAAAAGGAAGUGGGUAAUGGUAAAAAUGGAGUCUUGGUGGUGGGUUUGUUGGUGGAGUGAUAUGCUAUGGCUAUGGUUUGUUUAGGACUUGGAAUUUUAUGGUGUUUUGAUAAUAAAUGAGAAAAAGGGUGUGAGAGAAAAA
rnacentral:misc_RNA from 1 species